GUGCUCCCCGCAACUAGGCACGCAGGCGACACAAGGUAAUCAUGGCAGCGAGUACAAAGACGUGAGGGGAGGAGGCGAAACAAAGAAGGCGCACAGACAAAGGACAGUGAAGGACAAAAAAACAAAAACAAGGAGGAAGAAGAAGAACACCUUGGAGGCGAGAGGCAACCCAGCGUGACAUCAAAUCCCCCCCCCAUGCUCAUCUUCCCCGGGUUGGAGCGUGGAGCUGGACAGAUCCACGUGUCCUGCGUUUCCUUCCAUGUGAGUGAUCUCAGCUUUGACCUUCACUCAGCGCUGAGCUGAACGGGCGAGGAAGCAAGAAAUGCAAGCACGGGGCUCCUCUCGAGGGGCAAGCUCUCUCAGAACAAUCGCAUACAUAACCCCUCACCCGGCAGGGAAACACUUGAGUCGCGACCACCUCAAGUGAAAGGUUAGCGGGAAAAAAAAUAAAACGUUUUGGGGGUUGGGUUGAUUGGAUUAGACCGUAAAAAGUGAGCCUCAAUGCCAAUGGUGAAUACAAACAACGUAUAAACAUGUCUUUAGUGAUGAUUCCCAUUUGGAAGUCUGUACCAUGAAUCUGUCAUCAAUGCACCGUUUGAGGCAAAACCUUCAAAGACGGUAAACACAUUUUUAGAAAUCCAUCCAGAUCAUAUCCGCCGCUUCAGGUCCAUGUGCGCUGCUGCAUGCUAAUGUCAGCGCAAUCUCCUCUUUGUUCUUGAAACCCACAGUAGAUAUUUUUAAACCGUGGAAAUCAUUUGCCAGCAGAGAGGAGAUGGUUUCAUAUUUCUAUAAGCUACGCCACGCAGGGCCAAGUGACACAUGAAUAUUCUAAGCAGCUUUGUGCCUCUUUAAAUGUAUUUGCGCUGAAUGUGCUGGCAGUGGGCCCGGGCCGUGGCUGGGGCGCCGGGUGUUAUCUCUAAUUCUUGCAAUCCUAAACUAAACUCCGCCAUGGUGAUAAUUCAGCCUGGCACAAAGCAAAAAAAAAAAAA